rnacentral:rRNA from 1 species
GACGAACGCUGGCGGCGUGCCUAAUACAUGCAAGUAGAACGCUGAAGAGAGGAGCUUGCUCUUCUUGGAUGAGUUGCGAACGGGUGAGUAACGCGUAGGUAACCUGCCUUGUAGCGGGGGAUAACUAUUGGAAACGAUAGCUAAUACCGCAUAACAAUGGAUGACCCAUGUCAUUUAUUUGAAAGGGGCAAAUGCUCCACUACAAGAUGGACCUUCGUUGUAUUAGCUAGUAGGUGAGGUAACGGCUCACCUAGGCGACGAUACAUAGCCGACCUGAGAGGGUGAUCGGCCACACUGGGACUGAGACACGGCCCAGACUCCUACGGGAGGCAGCAGUAGGGAAUCUUCGGCAAUGGGGGCAACCCUGACCGAGCAACGCCGCGUGAGUGAAGAAGGUUUUCGGAUCGUAAAGCUCUGUUGUAAGUCAAGAACGAGUGUGAGAGUGGAAAGUUCACACUGUGACGGUAGCUUACCAGAAAGGGACGGCUAACUACGUG